rnacentral:rRNA from 1 species
UUCUUUUUGGAUUUUUAAAAAGUAAAACCUGCUCAAUGAUUUUUUAAAUAGCCGCGUUAUAAUCGUGCUAAGGUAGCAUAAUAAUUUGUCUUUUAAUUAAGGUCUAGUAUGAAUGGUUAAACGAAAAAUUAACUUUUUUAAUUAAAUUAAUUUUAAUUUUAUUUUUUAGUUAAAAAGCUAAAAUAAAAUUAUAGGACGAUAAGACCCUAUAGAAUUUUAUUUAAAAAAUUUAUAUUAUUUUUAUUUUGAAUAUAAUAUAAAUUUUAUAAAUUUGGUUGGGGUGACUUUUAUAUAUUUUUAACUAUAAUAUGAUAUUUUUCAUAAAUUAAUGAAUUAAUGAUCCUUAAUUUAAGAUUAAUAGAAAAAAUUACCUUAGGGAUAACAGCGUAAUUUUCUUGGAGAGUUCUUAUUAAUAAGAAAGUUUGCGA